rnacentral:rRNA from 1 species
UGGGGAAUAUUGCACAAUGGGCGCAAGCCUGAUGCAGCCAUGCCGCGUGUGUGAAGAAGGCCUUCGGGUUGUAAAGCACUUUCAGCGGGGAGGAAGGCGAUAAGGUUAAUAACCUUGUCGAUUGACGUUACCCGCAGAAGAAGCACCGGCUAACUCCGUGCCAGCAGCCGCGGUAAUACGGAGGGUGCAAGCGUUAAUCGGAAUUACUGGGGGUAAAGCGCACGCAGGCGGUCUGUCAAGUCGGAUGUGAAAUCCCCGGGCUCAACCUGGGAACUGCAUUCGAAACUGGCAGGCUAGAGUCUUGUAGAGGGGGGUAGAAUUCCAGGUGUAGCGGUGAAAUGCGUAGAGAUCUGGAGGAAUACCGGUGGCGAAGGCGGCCCCCUGGACAAAGACUGACGCUCAGGUGCGAAAGCGUGGGGAGCAAACAGG